UACGGAGGGUGCAAGCGUUAUCCGGAUUCACUGGGUUUAAAGGGUGCGUAGGUGGGGAGGUAAGUCAGCGGUGAAAUCCCCGAGCUUAACUUGGGAACUGCCAUUGAUACUAUCUCUCUUGAAUACCUUGGAGGUGAGCGGAAUAUGUCAUGUAGCGGUGAAAUGCUUAGAUAUGACAUAGAACACCAAUUGCGAAGGCAGCUCACUACACGGUUAUUGACACUGAGGCACGAAAGCGUGGGGAUCAAACAGG
rnacentral:rRNA from 1 species